AGCUUUGCGCAGUGGCAGUAUCAUGGCCAAUGAGGUUUAUUUGAGGCGCGAUUGCUAAUUGAAAAAUGACUGCUUCAAUAGGUCCACAAAAGAUCAUUUUAAGCAAGUCAUAUAUCCCUGGUUUUGAU
rnacentral:snRNA from 1 species